rnacentral:lncRNA from 1 species
GUUACAGUGGAUGCGAACUAACCAUGCAGCAGCAGCCGGAACCCACAGUUCACCUUGGUGCAUUCCUUUAUGAUGAAGACUUAUUGAUUCAUUAUAUGAGAAAGGAAAAAUGAGCAGAAACUACUGUAUGAUGUGCAGCUCACACCAGACAGCAACUUUAGGUGCUUCAUGCAGACAUCUGUACACCAGAUUUACUUCUGCAAAAUGCUGAUGCUAUGAAUAAUGCUUUUGAAUAUUAAUAAGGCAAAACAGACCAGAUAAGAUUAGCAUAUUCGUAGUCUGGAAAAUGCUAUACAAAGAAUGUAAAGCAUGAAACUACUUGUGGACCAAAUGAAAAACUGUGGAGCAGAUUAUGAUGCAGUUAGACCUUGCUUGAAUGACUUUGACCCACAAAAGCAGAGUAAUUUAUCCCUACUUACAGAGAGAUUGCCCUACGUGUAACAGCUGCAUACAAAAAAGUUAUAAAAUUAUCAUUGGUUUAACAAGGAUAAGUGAAAAACAUUAAAAUUCUCCAACUGAACAAGGUGUGUCUGUUUCAUUGAUUGGCUGACUGUCAAAUCGGAAUCUGAUCUGCCCCAUUGACAAUGCCUUGGGCUUUUCCUC